rnacentral:rRNA from 1 species
AUUGAACGCUGGCGGCAGGCCUAACACAUGCAAGUCGAACGAUUGGCGGACGGGUGUGUAAUGUCUGGGAAACUGCCCGAUGGCCGGGGCUAACUACUGGCCACGGUCGCUAAUACCGCAUACCAUCGGAUGUGCCCCGAUGGGAUUAGCUAGUAGGUGGGGUAACGGCUAACCUAGGCGACGAUCCCUAGCUGGUCUGAGAGGAUGACCAGCCACACUGGAACUGAGACACGGUCCAGACUCCUACGGGAGGCAGCGGUGGUGAAUAUUGGACAAUGGGAGAAAGGCGGAUGCAGCCAUGCCGCGUGGAUGAAGAAGGACAUGGGGAUGAGAAGUAGUUAGAGUGAGGAGGCGUUACUGGGAGAAGAAGCGCCGGCUAACUCCGUGCCAGCCGCCGCGGUAAUUC